rnacentral:rRNA from 1 species
CGAUUCUGGCUCAGAACGAACGCUGGCGGCAGGCCUAACACAUGCAAGUCGAACGCUGUAGCAAUACAGAGUGGCAGACGGGUGCGGAACACGUGGGAACAUACCCUUUGGUUCGGAAUAACUCAGGGAAACUUGAGCUAAUACCGGAUAAGCCCUUUUGGGGAAAGAUUUAUCGCCGAAGGAUUGGCCCGCGUCCGAUUAGCUAGUUGGUGAGGUAACGGCUCACCAAGGCGACGAUCGGUAGCUGGUCUGAGAGGAUGAUCAGCCACAUUGGGACUGAGACACGGCCCAAACUCCUACGGGAGGCAGCAGUGGGGAAUAUUGGACAAUGGGCGCAAGCCUGAAUCCAGCCAUGCCGCGUGAGUGAUGACGGCCUUAGGGUUGUAAAGCUCUUUCACCCACGACGAUAAUGACGGUAGUGGGAGAAGAAGCCCCGGCUAACUUCGUGCCAGCCGCCGC